rnacentral:rRNA from 1 species
GACGUGAGCGGUACGCUGCCCGCGACGUCGCGAGAAGUCCACUGAACCUUAUCAUUUAGAGGAAGGAGAAGUCG